rnacentral:lncRNA from 1 species
CUGCAUAACAGCUUAAAUGAAGCGAAGUCCGACUCGGCGAAUCCAAGCCAUUCAAUCCUAGCAACCUGCAGAAGGGAAGAAUCAAAAUGUAAAUGGAAUUCUAGUAGGCAGCGCCACACAUCGAGUGGUUUUCAUCACUUAACAAGAAACCAACUCUAACUGUUAUUAAUUAACAAACCUAUAACUAACCCAAUCUUAACACAAUAAAAGGAUAACAAACUUUUCCAACUGUCAAAAAAACUUUCUAACAGAAAUAACCAACUCUAACAACCUCUAACCAACCCCUAACUUCCCUAACUAAAAAUUCAUAAACCUAUAAAAGCAUACCUUGCCCAAUCAUUUUGGAUUUCAUCAUAUUCAUUCUUCCUCACUUUCUUCAAUCUUCUUCAACACCUUUCUUCCAUUUUCUCCAUUCACAACCAAUUUCAAUAUCCAUCUUCAACCUCACACCUAAAUAAUCUUCAAUCUCCUCCUUCAUCUUCAAUCCUCACUUUCUUCAAUCUUCUUCAACACCUUUCUUCCAUUUUCUCCAUUCACAACCAAUUUCAAUAUCCAUCUUCAACCUCACACCUAAAUAAUCUUCAAUCUCCUCCUUCAUCUUCAAACUGAACCGUCAAGCUCCAACCUCCAGGUUCUUCAUCGAUUGCACGAAACAACCUUCAAUUCUUCACCCUCCACUUCACAACCAUAACUUCCAUGGAACCUCACCUCUAACCGCCUUCAACACACACACACACACACAGGGAGGCGAGAAAUGAAAAACAGAACAGAAACAGAAGAAAACAAAUCAGAAAGAUUGAAAGAAGUAAGAGAACUCACAUGACCGCGUUAUCCUCAUCAUCUACAGAAUCGGAAACCUUCCAUUAGCCUCUCACGUAACCAUCGUCCAAAUCGGUCAGAAUCACUAAACUUCAACAAUCUCCAUAGAUUACA